GCACAAGCGGUGGAUGAUGUGGAUUAAUUCGAUGCAACGCGAAAACCUUACCUACCCUUGACAUGUCUGGAACCUUGCUGAGAGGCGAGGGUGCCUUCGGGAGCCAGAACACAGGUGCUGCAUGGCUGUCGUUAGCUCGUGUCGUGAGAUGUUGGGUUAAGUCCCGCAACGAGCGCAACCCUUGUCAUUAGUUGCCAUCAUUUAGUUGGGCACUCUAAUGAGACUGCCGGUGACAAACCGGAGGAAGGUGGGGAUGACGUCAAGUCCUCAUGGCCCUUAUGGGUAGGGCUUCACACGUCAUACAAUGGUCGGUACAGAGGGUUGCCAAGCCGCGAGGUGGAGCCAAUCCCUUAAAGCCGAUCGUAGUCCGGAUCGUAGUCUGCAACUCGACUACGUGAAGUCGGAAUCGCUAGUAAUCGCAGAUCAGCAUGCUGCGGUGAAUACGUUCCCGGGCCUU
rnacentral:rRNA from 1 species